rnacentral:tRNA from 1 species
AGUGAUGUAGCUUAGUUGGUAGAGUGUCUGUCUAGCAUACACAAGGACCUGGGUUCAAUCCCCAUCACAA